UUGGAGUCAUUUGGUUGUUCAAAAAACUUAAAUUCCAAAAGGAAAGACAGGGGCUCCUACAAGCUUUCACCUUCAUCCGACACAUAUAAAUAUGAUACAGAUAGUGACAUGGAUUUUCCAAGAUGAUAUACAAAAUGAAACAUAUAUUCCAAAGCAAGUGCACAUUCUGAACAAGGAAUGUUCAGGGAGGUGAUUUAACAAGUUACAACUUAUUUGAUGUAAUGGAAGAGUCUAAACAAGAUUUUAACAAAUCUGAACCACAAAUGAGAAGAAAACAUUGUCAGGUGUAUUUUUGUUAGAAAAGGAGGAUGACCCCCGGCCUCUGCAUCGUCAGGUGUAUGAAACACUCAUGUCAAAUUAACAAGGAUCAAUCAACAACUACCAUUGCUGUAGUUGACCCGACACUUGGAGCAAUACUUUCCAUUGACUCCAUCGUGGAUCAGAGGGAGUAACAUUUUUCUACUCCUG
rnacentral:lncRNA from 1 species